rnacentral:rRNA from 1 species
UGGGGAAUAUUGCACAAUGGGGGAAACCCUGAUGCAGCCAUGCCGCGUGUGUGAAGAAGGCCUUCGGGUUGUAAAGCACUUUCAGCGAGGAGGAAAGGUUGAUACCUAAUACGUAUCAGCUGUGACGUUACUCGCAGAAGAAGCACCGGCUAACUCCGUG